CUCCUCAGAGUCAAGCCUCCCAUGGUACCAUUUUGCUGCUAAUAAGCCAUCAACCGCAUUUAGCAUCCCAUUGACUCCCAUUCAUUUUGACGUCACUUUGACAGCGAAUAACUUUACAUCUGAAGAGUUUAAAGACU